GAUUCCCUCCCUGGAAGGAAGAGCUGCUCAGUCUUGUCCCGAUGGAGCUGUGUUGGUGUGUCAAUAUCCAGAGAUGUCUGCCAGACGCACAAUUCGACACCACAGACAGAAUUGGUUGUGUGUCCUCUGCAUAGCUGUGAUGGGAUAUGCAAUGGGAAUGAAUGACAGAACCCAGUGACCUGGCCUACAGAGAUAAUGGGAUGGGACCAAGGAAAGAACCCUGAGGGACACCAGUAGUACGACUACAAGGUUCAGACACAGAUUGUUUCCAGGUUACCCUGGAAGUGCAAUCCAGAAGAUGCGCUAUUACAGAGCGUGCCAGGCUGUGAUGGACAAGGCGUCCAUGUUGUACUGUCGCUUUAAGAACUCCUUCCUGCUGGGGGAGGGAGAGGAGGUGCUGAGCCAGGCCUACCUCCACUCACUCCUCCAGGAGAGGGAGAGGGAGGAGCAGCAGAGGUGGAAGCUGGAGGAGGAGAGGAGGAAGAGAGGGGCGGAUGGAGAGAGCAGAGGAGAAGAGGAGGUGCAGAGCAUUCAAACCCAAGGUCCAAUGGAUGCUUCCUGACCAUAUGGAAUGUACAAACUGAUUAAAUGUUCUUGCAGUUGGAGAUUUCCUGAAUGAACAUGUUUUUUGCUUUCAUGUAUAGUUUGAGUGUGUGUCAGUUUAUACUUUAUACUUUUAGUUUAUUUUUAAAAAGGUUGGUACCGUUCUGUAUCAUAGCAUCUUGCUUUCAAAAUUAAAACAGUUUUGAUAAACUGCCUGGUAUUUUCUAUUUGUUCAUGUGUCACGCGUAUUUGA
ensembl:lncRNA